rnacentral:lncRNA from 10 species
GGUGUGAUGGUGGGAACCCGGCGAAAGGGAGGAAGCCUCUUCCAGGCGUGGAGCAGCCUUGGGCCCUGAACAGGAGAGCGCCGGGAGACCGCAGGGCGGAGGUGAAGAACGGAGUCCAGAGCCCUCCAGAGAUGGCAGCGAAUCCCGGCCCUGCCUCUUGCCAGCUGUGUGGCCUAGAGUGAGUCCGACCUCUCUGGGCCUCAGCUUCCUCCGGGAUGAAUGCAGUCACGGAACGCGCCAAUGCAGGAGGCCCCCAGGACAUCCUGAGCGCUCGGGAGACGCCAGGCGCGGCAGCGGGCACGGAUAGCGGAAAGGGGCGCGACCCCGCGGAAUCCUCCGGCAGGGCAGGGCCUUUGGGUGGCUCCGGGUGUCCAGAGGAAGGGGUGGGCUCGGGGACGCGGAGGGAAACUGGGGACGCGGAGGGAAACUGAGGUCGCGGAGGACGCGGCCGUUGGCAGCUCGCUGCGCCUGCCGGCCCCGCGUGGGCCGCCCCACUCGGGAGGACGCGGGCUCCUUUUGUCUGCAGCGUCCCC